rnacentral:lncRNA from 1 species
CACCAAGCAUCUUGUGACCCCCACUCCUGCCCACAAGAGAACAACCCCCUUUAACUGUAAUUUUCCACUACCUACCCAAAUCCUAUAAAACUGUCCCACCCCAUCUCUCUCCCUUUGCUGACUCCUUUUUCAGAUUCGCCCACCUACGCCCAGGUGAUUAAAAAGCUUUAUUGCUCACACAAAGACUGUUUGGUGGUCUCUUCACACGGACGCAUGUAACAUUUGGUGCUGAAGACCUGGGACAGGGGGAUUCCUUCAGGAGACUGGUCCCCUGUCCUCGCCCUCACUCCUUGAGGAGAUCCACCUACGACCUUGGGUCCUGAAAUCAGCCCAAGGAACAUCUCACCAAUUUCAAAUCAGCAGAGACAAAGGAGACACAUUUUAUCCGUGAACUCAAAAACUCCAACGUCGGUCACAAAUUUAGGAAGACAGUCUUCCCUUGGUGUCUGAUCACUGCAGGGAUGCCUGCCUUGAUCAUUCACCCACAUUCCAUUGGUGUCUGAUCACUGCGGGGAUGCCUGCCUUGGUCAUUUACCCACAUUUCCUUGGUGGUAAGUCAACUGUGGGGAUGCCUGCUUUGGCUGCUCACCCAUAUUACAGCCCAGGGCUGCUCACCCCUGCCCUCCACCCUGUGUCUCUACCUUUCUCUUUAGACUUACCUCCUUCACUAUGGGCAACUUUCUGCCCUCCAUUCCCCCUUCUUCUCCCUUAGCCUGUGUUCUUAAAAACCUAAAACCCCUUCAACUAACACCUGACCUAAAACCUAAACAUCUUAUUUUCUUCUGUAAUACCACUUGGCCCCAAUACAAACUCGAAAAUAGUUCCAAGUGGCCAGAGAAUGGCACUUUCGAUUUGUCUAUCCUACAAGACCUAGAUAAUUUUUGUCGAAAAUUGGGCAAAUGGUCUGAGGUGCCUGACGUCUAAGCAUUCUUUACACAUUGGUCCCUCCCUAGUCUCUGCUCCCAAUAUGACUCGUCCCAAAUCUUUCUUCUUUCUCUCCUGUCUGUUCCUUCAGGCUCCACCCCAAGCUCUGAGCCCUUUGAAUCCUCCUUUUCUACAGACCCAUCUGACCUUUCCCCAUUCCCCAGGCUGCUCCUCGCCAGGCCAAGCCAGAUCUCAAUUCUUCCUCAGCCUCUGCUCCUCCACCCUAUAAUCCUUCUAUCACCUCCCCUCCUCACACCCGGUCCGGCUUACAGUUUCGUUCCGUGGCUAGCCCUCCCCUACCUGCCCAACAAUUUCCUCUUACAGAGGUGGCUGGAGCUGAAGGCAUAGUCAAGGUUAAUGCUCCUUUUUCUUUAUCCGACCUCUCCCAAAUCAGUUAGCGUUUAGGCUCUUUUUCAUCAAAUAUAAAAACCCAGCCCAGUCCAUGGCCUGUUUGGCAACAACCCUUAGACACUUUACCACCCUAGAUCCAGAGGGGCCAGAAGGCCGUCUUAUUCUUAAUAUGCAUUUUAUUAUCCAAUCCACUCCUGACAUUAGAAAAAGCUCCAAAAAUUAGAUUCCGGCCCUCAAACCCCACAACAGGACUUAAUUAACCUUGCCUUCAAGGUGUACAAUAAUAGAGAAGAGGCAGCCGAGCGGCAGUGUAUUUCUCAAUUGCAAUUACUUGCCUCCACUGUGAGAGAAACCCCAGCCACAUCUCCAGCACAUAAGAACUUCAAAACGCCUAAACCAUAGCAGUCAGGCAUUCCUCCUGGACUUUUUCCCCCAGGAUCUUGCUCCAAGUGCUGGAAAUCUGGCCAGUGGGCCAAGGAAUGCCCACAGCCUGGGAUUCCUCCUAAGCCAUGUCCCAUCUGUGCAGGACCCCACUGGAAAUCAGACUGUCCAACUUGCCCAGCAGCCAUUCCUAGAGCCCCUGGAACUCUGGCCCAAGGCUCUCUGACUGACUCCUUCCCAGAUCUUCUCGGCUUAUCAGCUGAGGACUGACGCUGCCCAAUCGCCUCGCAAGCCUCCUGGACCAUCACAGACACUUCAGGUAACUGCUACAGUGGAGGGGGGCUGGAGCCCUGGGCCAAGGGAGACCUGUGACCCCAGGUGCCGCCGGGAGAACUUCAGCCCAGAGGGGAAAUCAGCUCUCCGUGACCCAGCACCCCUACCCAGCAGCGCAACAGAUCCUGAGAGGAGCUACAGGAUGAUUCUAGAAACAGCGCACUUCAGGAAUCAUGUUGCAGGUGUUGUGCAUUGGAUCCACCACAGUCGGCUGAAACUGACAACUCAAGACAAGUGGACCAGCCAGCAGGACCCAGAUCAUCCAACUCGGCUGAUCCUGAGACGGGACCAAACUGCUGCCGAAGACGACCGCCCUGUUCUGGUCACUCCGGAGGCUAACCAGCCUACGCAUGGCUGAAGUUUGAGGAAACAACAAGCCCUGCUCUAGUCACACACUGAAAGCUGACUAGUCUAUGCACGGCCAAAGCUUGAGGACUCAUCAAGCAAGUAAAUGUAGUUAGAAAUCUUAGAACUAGUAGUUUUCCUUGUAAUAUUAACUGUUUUACUAUUGUUCUGUCACUGUGCUCAACCUCCUCUCCCAAAUAAGGACCUCUUCUGUCCUUACUAGAUAUGAAUAUACUGUACAUUGUUUUACUGUUGUUACCCCACUUAACCAUGCUAGAAGAAACACCCAUAGAAGGGUGUCCCCAUCGUACACAUACUACAUGGUCAGAAAACAGUAUAACCAGGACUCUAUUAUACCAUACUUAUUAUGAGUAUACAGGGACUCACCUAGGAACUUGUACUUACAAUCAGAUCACCUAUUCAAUUUAUGACCCAGGAAAUGGCCAGCUACCUAGGUGGAAGAUAGGUCAUGGAGUUACCGUACUCCUACUUACGUGCUUAAGCGCAUCAUAAGGUUACAGGCAGGGCUUGAGAUCAUCACUAAUAAACAUCAAAUGCAUUAGAUUUACUGACCCAGCAAGCUACAAAAAAUGAGGAAUGCUAUCUAUCAGAACAGAUUAGCUUUAGACUAUCUCCUAGCCCAGGAAGGAGGAGUAUGUGGAAAAUUCAAUCUAACUAAUUGUUGCCUGGAAAUCAAUGACAAUGGAAAGACAUUUAUGGAAAUAACUGCAAGAAUAAGAAAAUUAACCCACGUUCCAGUUCAAACGUAGAAAGGGUGGUCUCCAGAUUCUCUCUUUGGAGGCUGUUUUUCAUUUUUCGGAGGGUUCAAGACUUUAAUAAGAUUGAUUCUGGCCAUACUAGGAAGUUGCCUAAUACUACCUUGUCUCUUACCUCUCCUUGUUAGAAACAUUCAGUCAACUAUAGAGGCAAUAGUAGCUAGGCAAACUACCAGUCAGCUAAUGGCUCUAUGUAAAUGUCAACCUUUGUCUAAAGAAGAAAACUUGUCUCUUCAUGCAAAAUUAAAUAAUAGUGAUGCCUCCUAUUAAAUUUCUUUUAUAAAAGGCAUCAAAGGGGGGAAACUGAGGCAGAAAUUUAAAAAUAAAUAUGCAUUCAUUCACUCCAAGAAAAGUUAACAGGCAAGGCAAGGGUUAAAAAGAAAAGAACAAGUUUUCCUCGGCCUAGCAAGCUCACUUCAAGGACAGUUAUAAGAUAAUGUUGUUUGAGAAGCCAAGUCCAAAGGAAUGGGUUCCAGACAUCCCUCCCCUCUAGAACAAGGUUGAAGGAAAAAAAAAAAAAAAGAAGAAGACAAAUUCCUUUACUGUUACUCCUUUCCCUGGCUUCUUAAGCAUGAUUAUGUUUUACAAAUGUCUGUAUUUAGCCAGUUCUUGAUUUUCUUUUGACACAGCUCCAAGGCCACCAGCUAUGCAAGGCCACAAGUUAUGCACUAUAUGAUUAACUGCUUUUGUUUUACUUUUGUAAGUCCACUUAUAAAAACCCUGCUCUGUCUUUGUUUAAUGCUCAGCUUUUUGGAUUUGAAUCCACUCAGCCGGUGCACACCUUAAAAUAAACAUCCUCCUGUACUCUCAUAUUGGUCUCUCCAUUCCUCAGUUUCCCACAAGAUUACAAGCAUGAGCCACCGCACCGGGCCCAUUUUAACCAUUUUCAAAUGGAGAAUUCAGUGGUAUUAGGUACAUUUAUAUUGUUGUGCAACCAUCACCACUAUCCAUCUACAGAACUCUUUUUAUCUUGUGAAACUAAAACUCUAUACCCAUUAAACACUAACUCCUCACUCCUCCCUUCCCUCAUCACUUGACAGCCAUCCUUCUACUUUAUGUCUCUAUUCAUAGGUAUGAGCUCCCCCAUGCCUGCCCAAAUCACUAAUCUAAAAGGAAAUGUCAAGCUGAGAACUUCUUAGGGCAAACCUGCCUCCCAUUCUAUUCAAAGUUACCCCUCUGCUCAGAGAUAAAUGCAUAUCUCAUUGCCUCCUUUGGAGAAGCUAAUCAGAAACUCAAAAGAAUGCAACCAUUUGUCUCUUUUCUACCUAUGACCUGGAAGCCCCCUCCCUGCUUUGAGCUGUCCCGCCUUUCUGGACCAAACCAAUGUUCAUCUUACAUAUAUUAACUGAUGUCUCAUUUCUCCCUAAAAUGUAUAAAACCAAGCUAUGGUCUGACUACCCUGGGCACAUGACAUCAGGACCUCCUGAGACUGCGCCAUGGGUGCACAUCCUCAACUGUGGCAAAAUAAACUUUAUUUU